ACUAAGGUGGCAGAGCCUGGUAAUUGCAAAAGGCCUAAGCCCUUUCACCAGAGGUUCAAAUCCUCUCCUCAGUU
rnacentral:tRNA from 2 species